GGUCAGCUCGGAACCAUUUUGUGUUAAACUGGGAGGCAGCCAUUCCCUUUGAGAAGGGAGCAGUGGGUGGCACUGCAGAGAUUUCAGCUCGACGCUGACUCCUGUUCUAACAAGCUUCAGAUCACCUGCAGGUGGAAAAGAUACAUGUCCUGCCUGGUUACCGUUGAUGUUGCUGUGGAUUCGGGUGCACUCACAGCUGAGGCAACAGGGAUAUGGACAAUAGCGCCACAAUCAGCAUUUCUUGCUCAUCCCUAAUGUGGACUAAUUGGCUGUCACGGCCACUUCCUGGGGAAGCUAAGAGUCAGCCACAUUGCUUUGGGUCUGGAGUCAAGUGUAGGCUAGACCAGCUGGACACAGGCCAACACUGGACCCUGAAGUGGAAGGAGGAAGUUGAUUUGCUCAAUUCAUUCAGCCCUUUAACAUUUUACUCUAUGACAUGAGAGAUGAAAUUCUCACAUCCUCUGACGUUAAGAAGCUCAGAGUAUUCCUUCGUGAAAUGAGUUUGGAUUCCAAGGCUGUGAUCUCCUACAUCCAUUGCUUGUCUCCAGUGAUAUAACUGCAGCUUGCUAGGAGAAUCAAAGGGCUAUCUGUUAACUUCCAGAACACCCAUUUCAUAUUUGAAAGCCAAAAAUAAUCCUAAAUCAGUCAUUCCCUUAUUACACAUGAGCACAACAAAUUUUUUAAAAAUUCUAUUAUUUACCCUCAAAGCCAUGGAAGCAACUUCACAGCCUCAAAACCCUUAAUAAUUUUCUAGAUACCUGUUAAACUUCUAAGCUUUUCUGUUUCAUGUGGAAACAUUUUCAUACCUUUCUUUGUAAGUAAAAUGCUCAGUUUUGGUGGUAGUUCAAGGGAAUUGUUUUUCUACUAUUACAUCAGGCUGAUGACCAGUUGGGGAGAAAGUGAGGACUACAGAUGCUGGAGGUCAGAGUCCAGAGUGUGCUGCUGGAAAAGCACAGCAGG